GACGAACGCUGGCGGCGUGCUUAACACAUGCAAGUCGAACGGUGAAGCUCCAGCUUGCUGGAGUGGAUCAGUGGCGAACGGGUGAGUAACACGUGAGCAACCUGCCCCUGACUCUGGAAUAAGCGCUGGAAACGGCGUCUAAUACUGGAUACGAGAAGGGUCCGCAUGGGCACUUUCUGGAAAGUUUUUCGGUUGGGGAUGGGCUCGCGGCCUAUCAGCUUGUUGGUGAGGUAAUGGCUCACCAAGGCGACGACGGGUAGCCGGCCUGGGCGGGCGACCGGCCACACUGGGACUGAGACACGGCCCAGACUCCUACGGGAGGCAGCAGUGGGGAAUAUUGCACAAUGGGCGAAAGCCUGAUGCAGCGACGCCGCGUGAGGGAUGACGGCCUUCGGGUUGUAAACCUCUUUCAGCAGGGAAGAAGCGAAAGUGACGGUACCUGCAGAAGAAGCACCGGCUAACUACGUG
rnacentral:rRNA from 1 species